rnacentral:pre_miRNA from 1 species
UCACCCAGAAAUCUUGUUAAGAUUCAAUAGGUCUGGGGUGGGACUUGAGAUUCUGCAUUUCUAACAAGCUCCUAGCUGAUGCCA